UGCAAAACGAAUUGUUAAGGAAUCCUAGCGAGCCCAACCUCCCACCCGUGUUUACUGUACCUUAGUUGCUUCGGCGGGCCCGCCAUUCAUGGCCGCCGGGGGCUCUCAGCCCCGGGCCCGCGCCCGCCGGAGACACCACGAACUCUGUCUGAUCUAGUGAAGUCUGAGUUGAUUGUAUCGCAAUCAGUUAAAACUUUCAACAAUGGAUCUCUUGGUUCCGGCAUCGAUGAAGAACGCAGCGAAAUGCGAUAACUAGUGUGAAUUGCAGAAUUCCGUGAAUCAUCGAGUCUUUGAACGCACAUUGCGCCCCCUGGUAUUCCGGGGGGCAUGCCUGUCCGAGCGUCAUUGCUGCCCAUCAAGCACGGCUUGUGUGUUGGGUCGUCGUCCCCUCUCCGGGGGGGACGGGCCCCAAAGGCAGCGGCGGCACCGCGUCCGAUCCUCGAGCGUAUGGGGCUUUGUCACCCGCUCUGUAGGCCCGGCCGGCGCUUGCCGAACGCAAAUCAAUCUUUUUCCAGGUUGACCUCGGAUCAGGUAGGGAUACCCGCUGAACUUAAGCAUAUCAAAA
rnacentral:sRNA from 1 species